rnacentral:snoRNA from 1 species
UGGUUGAUGACGAUGUGAAAACUGUGCAAUCUGAGUUCUGGAAGCUAGAUGCUGGAGUGUGUGCUGACAACAGACUGACACCA